rnacentral:rRNA from 1 species
AACGAACGCUGGCGGCAGGCCUAACACAUGCAAGUCGAACGCAUCGCAAGAUGAGUGGCGCACGGGUGAGUAACACGUGGGAAUGUACCCUUUGGUUCGGAAUAACGUUUGGAAACGAACGCUAAUACCGGAUGAGCCCUCUGGGGGGAAGAUUUAUCGCCAAAGGAGCAGCCCGUGUCUGAUUAGGUAGUUGGUGGGGUAAGGGCCUACCAAGCCGACGAGCAGUAGCUGGUCUGAGAGGAUGAUCAGCCACCCUGGGACUGAGACACGGCCCAGACACCUACGGGAGGCAGCAGUGGGGAAUAUUGGACAAUGGGCGCAAGCCUGAUCCAGCCAUGCCGCGUGAGUGAUGAAGGCCUUCGGGUUGUAAAGCUCUUUCGCACACGACGAUGAUGACGGUAGUGUGAGAAGAAGCCCCGGCUAACUUCGUGCCAGCAGCCGCAGUAACAC